AUUUGCUUUUCUGGUGUGUCCUGACAGCUCCCCUGAGUCAUAAGAUAGAUGCAAAUGAGGGGCGAGGGGUCAAGGCAGCGGAGCACUGCCUUAAAUAGAUACCUUAUCAGGAUGAGAAGUAAUAGCUGCUGGCAGAGCUGGAAAUAGAAGGAAAGGCAAAUGUUCUGGUGCUUCUCAGUAGGAGGUGGUUAUUCUCUUAUGGUAUCUGUGGGUGUAAAUUAGGUAAACUCACAUAGAAACUUAUUUUGAUAACAAUAACUCCAGUAUGGAGACAGUGAAAUUGCUUCCUGGAUAUUCUGUUGACCAAGCCAGGGAAAUAUAUAAUGCAGUUUAGAAUUUUUAAAAUUAAAACUGACAAAUGGCAUCAAACUGGAAAAUUGACUCUUUGGGGUUAUGUCUUCUCUUGACGAUAUUAGAUAUUCAGGUCUUAUAAAAUAGCUUUUGCUCGUAGAAAACACUUUAUAUAUUGAUUUCUUAUUCUCCUAAUCAAUAACUACAAUAGGCUGAUUUUCUGUUUUGGAUUCAUCUAUCCAAUUUUUCAGCAAUACCAUCUUCAUCAAUUUUAGGCAUUAUGCUAGGCAUCAGGAAGGCAAAAUCUGGUAAAACACUGUGUACUCUUUCUAUGUACAUAUCAAUGGUGGUUGGCUUUAGGCAUGUCAAGAAAUAAGCAUAGCAAAGUAUCAUAGGAGCUGUGAUAGAAACAAGGAUAUAGUGGGUAUCCAAAGAAGACAGAGAUUCACUAGGAGUAGAGGGGCUUUCCCUGCCCAUUGGUGAUGAGUGAACAGAUGUUGCAGGUGGAUGUGGUUGACCAAAGGCAUUCUUGGAAGAAGGAGUGAUGUGAGCAAAGGUGUAGAACACAUAGGGCAAGAAGCCUGAAUGACAAUUGGAACUGGAAACUCCCCAACAUGUAACAACAGUGUGAUUACAGGUCCUGUGAUUUUAUUAACCUGGCUGAGUAUGGUUAUGAUGGAGUGGUUGCGGAACUGCAUGGUGGCUCAGAGGGGUACAUCUAGUUACUGAGGGCUGUAAUCUGGGUAUUUGGCUCCUGGAGGAACGCAGUCUUAAUCACAGGUAAAAUCCAACAACCUGCCAUCUCACAGCAUCUCAAAGGUGGUUCAUAGUCUGCCUGUGGGUCCAAUUCAUCUAAGGAAUCUGAACUCUGCCAAAAAUACAGAGGUCAAGGUGCA
rnacentral:lncRNA from 12 species